rnacentral:lncRNA from 1 species
GAUAAUGAAGUGGCAACAGUGUCCAGUAAAUGGUUUAAAGAUUCAGGAUGUGUUUUGUGGCCCAACUGUAGAGUAGGGAAGAAAUUACAAAACAUGUUGCUAAACCAUGAAGAGCCAGGUGCUGACUGGGUUUCCUAUGAUGUACGAGUGUUGUCCAGUAACAUUGUAACUCUCAAUUCAGCAAGGGCAAAGGAGCGACUAGCUGAUCAUAAUUCUGAUCUUAGUUCGGCUGAAGAUGGUAGCAGAAUUAUAUGUGCCCCUAGCAGAUUUAACAGUCAAGAGUAUUGCCAACCACCAUCCAAAAUCAGCAAAAUAACUUCAAACAGUCAUACAACUUCCUAUUUAAAAAACCCCUUGAUUCCUCAUAAACCAUCACUAGUUUCUCAUCCAUCCUUUAUUCAAACUUCAGCAUUGUUUUCUAGAAUGCGCUUGAUUUGGCUAACUUUUAUGUAGCUAGUCUAUGUAACACCAAUCUCUGAUAAUGUUCCUUGUGCACAUCACUGUACACACGUUGUUACGUGGUUUGAAAAAUUAUUUAAAGAAAUACAGUAAACACGUGCAGAACAAAAUUUAAUAAAUCAUCGUUUAGAUCAGCAAUGUCGAAAUGAUCAGCAUGAUGCAGAUAGCAAUUUUUUAAACUGUCUUCCACUUGAGAGUACAGCAAGAUUUUGAACGGUUUGGUAUAGAGAUAGACCGUGACAAUGGAAAAAGAACUACU